rnacentral:lncRNA from 1 species
GAGAAGGAAGGGUUGGAGUCUGAGUGCAGAUCAAAGCUUGCCACCUUCCACUAUAUUUCCUUCAGGAGAUUUCUAUUCUGUGUGUGAUGUGGCUUCUAUCAUGGCAUGUGAGCAGCAUGGAAAUAAGUAUGGCAUGAAAAUAUGGGCAUAACCGAGAUUAGACUAUUCACGGCGGCACGAUGGGGGAGAGGGCAAGGAGCGAGGCAGUCUGGAUUUUAAGAGGUCAAAAACCAAUUGUCGAGGUACUUAAGAAAAAGAAUGCUCUCCACGGCUAGAGAAAGAACUGUAGGAGUAAAAAUCCAGAAGAAAACAUGGUCCAUCACUUGUUUCUAUGGAUUUUCCAAGAAUUAAAGAUCAAGCUCACCAGCUUAUAAGACUUGGGUUCCAAUCCUGCUUCUGCCUCUUCUACCAGAGUGAGUUUGGAAUUAGAGUGCUGGACUUAGAGUCACAAAGACAUGAAUUUAAAUCCUAACUCAGAUACUUACUAGCUAUAUAAUUCUUAGCAUGGGACUUACCCUUCCUGGGCCUCAUUUUCUUCAUCUAUAAAAUGAAGGGGUUAAAUUGGAUGACUUCUGAACUCAUCUCUAGGUCUAAAUCUAUGAUCCCUGGCUUCUAUGACCAGUAAUCUUGAUGGAAUCAGGUUCAGUUCCUGUAAUGACUUGGGAGGACGAUAGUCCAAAGGGUAAUGUAAGUCCUGAUUGUCUG